rnacentral:rRNA from 1 species
GACAGAGGGGGCAAGCGUUGCUCGGAAUCACUGGGCGUAAAGGGCGCGUAGGCGGGAUGGCAAGUCGGUCGUGAAAUCCUUCGGCUCAACCGAAGAACGUCGGCCGAUACUGCCGUUCUUGAGGGAUGCAGAGGAGAUUGGAAUUCCCGGUGUAGCGGUGAAAUGUGUAGAGAUCGGGAGGAACACCGGUGGCGAAGGCUGGUCUCUGGGCAUCUCCUGACGCUGAGGCGCGAAAGCGUGGGGAGCAAACGGG